rnacentral:tRNA from 1 species
GCCGCCAUGGUGAAAUUGGUAGACACG